rnacentral:rRNA from 1 species
AUUGAACGCUGGCGGCAGGCUUAACACAUGCAAGUCGAGCGCCCCGCAAGGGGAGCGGCGGACGGGUGAGUAACGCGUGGGAAUUUUCCUCAAGGUACGGAACAACUCAGGGAAACUUGGGCUAAUACCGUAUGAUGUCUAGCGACCAAAGAUUUAUCGCCUUGGGAUAAGCCCGCGUCAGAUUAGGUAGUUGGUGGGAUAACGGCCUACCAAGCCUGCGAUCUGUAGCUGGUCUGAGAGGACGAUCAGCCACAUUGGGACUGAGACACGGCCCAAACUCCUACGGGAGGCAGCAGUGGGGAAUCUUGCGCAAUGGGCGAAAGCCUGACGCAGCCAUGCCGCGUGAAUGAUGAAGGUCUUAGGAUUGUAAAGUUCUUUCGCCCGUGACGAUGAUGACGGUAACGGGAGAAGAAGCCCCGGCUAACUUCGUGCCAGCAGCCGCAGUAA